rnacentral:lncRNA from 1 species
UUUAUUUAUUUGAGAGCAAGCGUGACCCAGUGGAGGGAGGAGCAGAGGGAGAGGGACAAGCAGACUGCUAGCUAAAUGGGGAGCCUGGCACAGGGCUGAAUCUCACAACCCCAAAAUCAUGACCUGAGCCAAAAUCAAGAGUUGAAUGCUCAGCGCAAAUGAGCCACCCAGGCACCACCCCCCUCCCCCAACCUUAACAGAUUUCAAGUGUAAGAUAUGGUAUGUUAAUCAAUAGACACAAUGUUGAAAAAAAAUAGGCACAAUGUUGUACAGCAGAUUUCUAGUAUUCAUCCAUCUUGCCUAGGUGAAAUUUUAUGACCAUUGAUAACAACUACUUUCCCUCCCUUCUCAUCCUUUGGCAAUUAUAAUUUUAUACAUUGCUUCUAUAAGUUUGACUAUUUUAGUUACCAUGCAUUAAAUGGAAUCGUACAAUUUGUGUCUUGUGACUGACUUGUUUCACUUAGCAUAAUGUUCUCCUUUCAUCAAUGUUCUCACAUAUUGCAGGAUUUCCUUUUUUUAAAGGCUAAAUAGUACUCCAUUGUAUGAAUAUACCAUAAUUUCUUUAUCCAUUCAUCAGCAGAUGGACGGACACUUGGGUUCCUUCCAUCUUUAGCUAUUGUGAAGAAUACUGCUGUGUGGAUGAGUGUACAAAUUUCUCUUUGAGAUCCUGCUUUCAGUUCCUUUGGGCACAUAUCCAGAAGUGGAAUUAGUAGGUCAUAAGCUAAUUGUUUAAAAAAAUUUUUUUAAGGUUUUAUUUAUUUGAGAGAGAGAGUGAACAGGGGAAAGGACAGAGGAAGAGAGACAAGCAGGCUCCAAGCUCAGCAGGGAACCCAACCUCAGCUGGAUCCCAGAACUCUGGGAUCAUGACCUGAGCCAAAGACAGAUGCUUAACCCACUAAGCCACCCAGGUGCACCCAGCUAAUUCUGUUUUUAUGAGGAACUGCCAUUCUGGUUUUCAUGGUGACUGCACUAUUUUACAUUCCCAUCAGCAUUGCACAAGGUUUCAAUUUCUCAACAUCGUCACCAAUACUUGUUAUGUUGUGGGUUUGUUUUUUUUUUAAUUGCCAUCCUAAUGAGUGUGAAGUGGCACACAGUUUUGGUUACUAUAGCUUUAUAGUAAAUUUAAAAAUUAGAGUCACUUAGGUAGUUUCUCAUCUGUUUUUGCACCUGUGCCACCUUGUAAAGUGCACAGACCUGCACCAUCAUGGAAGUGCUAUACCUGUCAGAGGUUGCCAGAUCUCCCUCUCUAAAAGUACAGUAUCCCUAGUAGAGCAAGUCACCUGGGUUUCACAUUUGUAACCUAGGCUGAAUUGAGAGCCAGUGAUCCUGGGUCUGAUUUUGCUUACAGUGUUACAGCUAACCAUUUAAUAGUUUUGGAAAAAACAAAACAGUACAUGCCUAUUCAGAGAUGAAAUUAGUUGGUAAAGCUAACUUCCAUACAAAGACUUAGGAAAGAAGGGGAGCAAUUGGUCAUUACUGUGCUUUGGGGCAGCUGGCUUCAGUGUAAGGUUGGCUUUAGGGCCCUGGAAUGAAAUGCUUAAUUUGAGGAGUAUUUAAAAUACUUUGAAUCUCCUGGAAUUCAUUCUUAUCUUGACACUCCACUAAAAGUGUCUUUCUUGCCACUGAUUAUAUGAUCUGGGGCAAAUCACUCUGAUCCUGGAGUUCAGUUUCUUCAUCUGUAAAAUAAGCAGGAUGAAAUAUGUUCUAAGUUCUCUCUUUGCUGAAAAUUAUUUUAUUCUGUCCUGUGAGUUGAAAUUAUAUUUCAGAUUUGAGGAUAAGGUAUGCUACUUGGUUAAGGUGAAGAAACUACCAGGAUAAGACCUAGGGCUAGCAUCCACCAAACGGACUGAUACCUCUUCCCUCAUCAGCAAGAGUAGUAGAAAAUUAAUAUCGAAGGAGUUUACAAACUCAGGCUUAAUUUGGAGAAGACUCAGUAGUAGGAAUUUUCAGGUAAUGAUUUUGGGUGUUAAGCUUAUUACAGCAGGAUUACACCAGCAGUUGGCACUUCAAUGGAUAGGACUCUUGCAAAACUAAUCAGGAGUACUAGUGGGGAAAUUUAGAUGAAACAUAAUUUUCUAGAAAAUAGAAAUUACCAAAAUUGACUCAAAGAAAUAGAAGGCCUGAAUAAACUAACAAGCAUUGAAGAAGUUGAAUUAGUAAUCCCUAAUUUUCCAAACAACUGUGAAGGACUUUUUUUUUUAUUAUUGGAGUUCAAUUUGCCAACAUAUAACAUAACAUCCAGUGCUCAACCUGUCAAGUGCCCCCCUCAGUGCCCAUCACCCAGUCACCCCAACCCCCCACCCAACCUCCCUUUCCACCACUCCUUGUUCAUUUCCCAGAGUUAGGAGUCUCUCAUGUUCUGUCACCCUCACUGAUAUUUCCCAUUCAUUUUCUCUGCUUUCCCCUUUAUUCCCUUUCACUAUUUUUUAUAUUCCCGAAAUGAAAUGAGACCAUAUAAUGUUUGUCCUUCUCGGAUUGACUUACUUCACUCAGCAUAAUACCUUCCAGUUCCAUCCAUGUUGAAGCAAAUGGUGGGUAUUUGUCAUUUCUAAUGAUUGAGUAAUAUUCCAUUGUAUAUAUAGACCACAUCUUUAUCUAUUCAUCUUUCAAUGGACAGCAAGACUCUGUGAAGGACAUUUUGACAUAACUAAAUGGGAAAUUUGAUAAUGGUCUAGAUAUUAGGUGAAAUCAAGGAACUACAUUUAAUUUUGAUAGACACCUAAUAAUGAAUAAUGAAGAUAAAGAUAAUGAAAUUGUGGUUAUGCAAGAAAAUGUUCUUAGUUUUUUAGGUAUAAUGAGUGAAACAAAUGUGCCAAAAUCUUCAUUAUUGCAUCUAAGUGAGAGGUAUAUGGGGAUUUUUGAGCUAUGUUCAAAAUUUCAAAAUUUCAGUUUCUUUGAAAUUACUCAUAAUAAUACCAGUAAGAACAAAUAUAGUCUUCCUUUCCAAAAACACAAGUUCCACAUUGUCUCAUAGGCACAUUUUACCAGACCCUUAAGGAUCAAUAAUCUUUUCUCAAUCAAAAUAUUUUAGAGA